rnacentral:misc_RNA from 1 species
UUUGGAAUUGAUUUUCCAGUCCUGAUCCUGAAUCUCAAACUUUCAUUGCGCUAAUCUCAUUUAAUUCCACAUAUACCCUUACUGUUUUCUUAAAUUUACCAAACCAUGUUCAUGCUCGUCGACUGCUCCAAUUGCCGGACUCCGCUACAACUUCCUCCCGGCGCCCGAUCUAUACGCUGUGCUAUUUGCCAGGCUGUCACACACAUCGCCGAUACCCGCUCUGCUCCUAAUUCCUCUUACGCGGGCCCUACCCCGCCACCUACAUACGCCCCACCUCCGCCGUCUCCCUACAAUCACGCUCCUCCGGGGCCUCCUCCGAAUGCGCACGGUAGGAAGAAGGCGUUGAUAUGCGGGAUAUCGUAUAGGUACUCGAGACAUGAGCUCAAGGGAUGCAUAAACGACGCCAAGUGUAUGCGCCAUCUUCUAAUCAACAAGUUUCAGUUCCCCGAAGAUUCUAUUCUCAUGUUGACUGAAGAGGAAACUGAUCCCUACAGAAUUCCCACUAAACAGAACAUGAGAAUGGCAUUAUACUGGCUUGUACAAGGUUGUCAAUCUGGAGAUUCCCUGCUUUUUCAUUAUUCAGGGCAUGGUUCACGGCAAAGAAACUAUAAUGGUGAUGAAGUUGAUGGAUAUGAUGAAACUCUAUGCCCACUAGACUUUGAAACUCAAGGUAUGAUUGUUGAUGAUGAAAUCAAUGCAACAAUUGUCAGACCUCUUCCUCAUGGUGUUAAGCUUCAUGCGAUAAUUGAUGCUUGCCAUAGUGGUACAGUAUUGGAUUUACCCUUCCUUUGCAGAAUGAACAGGAGUGGACAAUAUAAAUGGGAGGACCAUCGUCCGCGAUCUGGCAUGUGGAAAGGAACAAGUGGUGGAGAAGUCAUUUCCUUCAGCGGUUGUGAUGACGAUCAAACCUCUGCUGAUACAUCUGCUCUAUCAAAGAUAACAUCUACAGGUGCAAUGACUUAUUGCUUCAUCCAAGCCAUUGAGCGUGGACAAGGGACUACAUAUGG